CACUUGAUUCAAUUAGAAAAAGCUUUUUUAAAUGUCUCGCGUGACGUCUGCUAUAUUAACUGAAAAAAAAUCGCUUUGAAGUGACCACACCUUAAAGCUGACGUUUUCAGAAGAGAACCUUGUUGUUUUAAGAUCUCAUUUUGUCCAACAUUGCGUCCUAUGACAGAUAUAAUACUUAUUUCAUUAUUGUUCUGUGUAUGUGUGACCUUCAUCAUUUGAGGUUAUGUGUUGAUUUCACCUCUGAAUAUUUCCUCUUAUAGGUCCAUCAUCCUUUCAUGCGCUACACAGCAUUGGUAAGUCAUUUCUUUCACUUUUGUACUGCUGUUAGGAGCUAAAUCUUAUUUUUGUAACUAAUAUACAAUUAUUAUUCUUUGACUCGCAGUACUCAAAUAUACAAUGGUUGGUUAAUUUGUUUUCAGAUAAAUGCUGAAUUUGAAAGAAUCACUACUGUCUUAUGUUCCUGCGUGUCACCUGGACCUCCAAUCCAAAAACCUGAUGAAACUCUUCAGAAAGGAGGACAGCUAGCAAAAAGACUUCAAACAAUCAAUGAUCAAAUGACAGAUGGCAUGGAUGAAGUCAGCAUCAGUGAGGUCAUUUGAAGACACCACUGUUGGGAUUUGUGCUCUCAAACAACCUGCUUCUUGUGAUGAAGAAGAGGAUCUUUGUAUAGUCCUGGAAGGCAUGAAGGUGUUGCAACAUCGUGCCAUGUUGUUUGAGCUGAUGUAUGCCUUAAACCUGAGCUAUCCUGAUCUCCGCUUUAUUUUUGAGGAAAUCCAAAAGAUUUUAAUGGAACUGCAUUGAGAGUAACUUUAACAAACAGUUUCUUUCAGUGAAAGGAUCAGAAAGACUGUGCUGCUCAUUUUUGACUUUGUUUAUCUGUUUUAAGUGUUUUCUCUUAUUAAUACAUUAACCGUUUGCUGCUCAGAGUCGAUUUUGGAAAUGGUUGUUGUAUUUUGUUUUUGUUGAAUCUAUGAUUAACAGUUUAUACAAAUGCUGUAGCUCUGACUUUCUGAAGGAUUGAUAUUUUCCAGUUUGUAAAUCCAUUUUAUAAAUAAUAGUACUUACUGUUUUGCAUGUCUCUUUGGAAUGCAGUGUUUGUGUUUUAGCACUUCUAAAUCUACUGUGAUAGUAACUAUUUUAAACAUUUGGGUCAGUUUCAUCCUAAUAUAACUAGGGCCUAGUCAUGAAUUAAUCUACAACCUGUUUGGGAAAUUGCCCCUUUAUGUAUGUACUGCAUGUGCUGAUUGUUGUAAUAGUUAUUGACUGUUAUUGAAUUAAUGUGUAGUGAUUUAAAUGAAUUGAUGAUCUGAAAGCAGUGGUUUGCCUCAAUAUCACUAAACAUUUGUACAAAACUCUUCACUUUUUAUGCCAAUGCAAAUGUAUUUUGUAUUUAAAAAGAAAUAAAUAACAUUUGGAUAA